UGUCACGGUCCGGGGUCCUGUGUCUGUGGAAUAUGCGGAUAGCCACACCCUCCGGGCUAGGCCAUUCUCGGCACACCUGCUCUUCAUCGCUGUGAUUACAGGAGAAGCUACUUCACCCGGCGCUGACAGAUGCUCCAUGCCAGUCCGUAAUCACAUCACAAGUGGUUCCGAUUCGGCGUUCAGCGUCUGCCACCUGCCUGUCCUCCUGCUCGGCUGGAUCUCUCAGUACAUCACCUGGCCCUUCCACUAGCUCCACAGGACUUCCUGCACACGGACUGCCACUCUACCCUCCCGAGCUCCCACGGUCCCGCUCUAUCCCUCCCACGGUCCCGAUUCCGGCUCCCUCGUGUCGUUUCCUCCCCGGGUUUUUCAGUUCCUCGUUUGCUCUCUAGGUUUCCCGGGUCGCCUUUCGUUAUUGUAAUAAAGUGCCUCUUCUGUAGCGCUGAGUCUGCC